CAGUAGCCGCGGGAAUACGGAGGGAGCUAGCGUUGUUCGGAAUUACUGGGCGUAAAGCGCACGUAGGCGGCUACUCAAGUCGGGGGUGAAAGCCCGGGGCUCAACCCCGGAACUGCCCUCGAAACUAGGUAGCUAGAAUCUUGGAGAGGUCAGUGGAAUUCCGAGUGUAGAGGUGAAAUUCGUAGAUAUUCGGAAGAACACCAGUGGCGAAGGCGACUGACUGGACAAGUAUUGACGCUGAGGUGCGAAAGCGUGGGGAGCAAACAGGAUUAGAUACCCGCGUAGUCCCUGUCUCUUAUAC
rnacentral:rRNA from 1 species